rnacentral:lncRNA from 1 species
GGGAGGCUGAGGCAGGAGGAUCACAAAUUUGAGGCCAGUCUCAGCAAUUUAGCAAGGCCCUGUCUCAAAAUAAAGAAUAAAAAUGGCUGUGGAGGGCUAGGGCUAUUGCUCAGCGGCAGAGCGCUUGUGUGAGGCACUAGGUUCGAAUCUCAGAACCACAUAAGAAUAAACAAAAUAAAGGCAUUCUGUCCAUCAACAACUACAAAAAAAUUUUUUUUUAAAUGGCUGUGGAUGUAACUCAGUAGUAGAACACCACUGGGUUCAAUCCCCAGUAUCAAAAAGAAAAAAAAAAGUUAAGGAAUAUUCAUAUUAAAAGUGAAGUAACAGUAAGAACCCAAGAGUUAAGUGGAACACUGGAGCAAGCUUUCGUUUUUAGGAAAUUUGCAGAACAAAGGUAAUAUAAACUUAUUUUUCAAAACCUCUCAGCAUGCUAAAGAUAGGAAUCAAAGGUCAGGGCUAGUCUGAGGCAGAAAGUCCAAAGGAGACUACCAAGAGUGUAUAUCCCAAAGAGCAAGAAAUAAAACUGCCUGUUCUUAAGGGAGCUUACAAGGAAAACUAUCUUUUUAAAAUCUUGACACUGACUUUGGAAGGAAGGAAAUCUACUCGAGCUUUUUCUUAUUUUAUUCUGGUGUUAGAUGAUGAAGAAAUAAUUUUAAAAUAUAUCUUACUAUAUAAAAUUUCAAACACAUACAGAAAUUAGACAACUGAAUUUAUACUCAUGCAAUAUCCAACAUUCUGCUUCAGCCAUUCUUAUGUGAUAGUCUUGCUUCAUCCACAUCACGUCUGCCUUCCUAACCAACCCCAUUAUUUUGAAACAAACUCAACAUGUCAGAUCAAUCCUUCUGUAAAUAUGGAGGGAUAACUUGAAUUUUACAAUACCAAAGCUUGCUGGUCUCACCCUUUCUUUAUUCUAGCUUAUUGCAAUGACAGUGUCUUUGCUAAUGAAGAACUACGGCUGGACACUUUUAAGAAAUGGCCCCACAAAUCAGGUCUGAAAACUGCAGCUUUGGCUAGAGCAGGUCUUUUCUACACAGGUGAGUCGGUGGUUGGUACCUUCUCGCUUCUUCGACCAUUUAAAUCCCAAAUAGACCUUAUGAUUCUAGACUUGCUAUCCCUUUUCUGCAUCAUUCCUUCCAGAUUA